rnacentral:lncRNA from 1 species
UGCAGCAAAAAUGUACCAUUUCAGGAAACGAAACGUAACUUACGACUCAAGGGCCCUGGCAACACUGGCCAUGAUGCGACGUCAUCAAAUUCAAGUUCGUCGUCGAGUAGUAGCACAUUCAUAAUAUAAAAGGCGAAGGCAUUGGAUGAAGGAAAAAUAACAUUAGUGAGAAAUAAGAUAAGAUAAGAAGAAAGAUUACAAAAAUUUGAAGCAUCUACAUGAAGUCCUAUACGCAAUAACUUAAACAUCAUUGAAGAGCACGAAUUAUUAGCUUUCCGCUGCACCACGCUGCACCACGCUGCAUAUCGCGACCGUAUGGCGUUACAUCGUGAUUGCAGAACGCAGCAUUUUUUUUAACUAAGACAUUCAAAGUUUAAAACUUCUUAAUUUUUCAUGAUAUUCAAAUCGUUAUAUUAUAACCAUCAUCAUAAUCGAAUACCUCACGAUUUAAUUAAGAAAAAAUAGUUUUAUCACAAAAGCAAUUUCUUAUUACACCUUUAUUUUAAAUAAACGAUCUCAAUCGCUAUUUACGUUUUAUCUCAAAAAUGGACCAAUCAGAACAAAGUUUUUUUGACAUGUUUACAAAUGAGUUAUUUUGAUUGGUUCAGUCUCUGAAACGCAUUGAAGGUUGAUAUUUAGAUUGUUAAUUGUUUAUCAAAAAGGAGUGACAGAGCAUAGAGACAGGGAGGACCAACACUUUGUAUAAAAAGUGUAUACCAAAAAUCGUUAAUUCUACCCAUGACUUGACAUCACAAGGGACUAAAAGUUAUAGAGUAGGAUAUUUAAACAAGAAAAAACUUUUCCCGUUGGUUAUAGUAAAGGUUUUAUGCAGUGCACUUUCGUCAAUCUUCAUACAUCAACUACAUAAGUAAUCAGAGAUAAUAUUUUUUUCCACCGGGCAUAUUAUUUACUUUCUUUUCAUGUCAUAACCUCCUGCGACACUAGCGCUAUUGUGGUGGGUUUUGAGUUUUAAUUUGCUGCUACCGCUGCUCUGGAUAUAUUUUCAACUUGUUACUUGUCCCUCAUUACUAUUGAUGGUCCUCCUUUCCUCUACCCUGCAUAGUGCAUAUACUUAUGUAUUGAAAAGCUUUAUCCUCAGAGCUUUGUCGACCUAUCUUAUGUAGCUAUGCUUAAUUUUAAUUAACAAGUACCAACAAACUAGUAUUCUAGUUUUCAUCUGAAUUUUAAUGACUCUCGAAAUAAUUAGAAAAUGUUUUGUUGCCUUCACUCAAUUAUAAAUCGAUAUGAACAAGAUCAGUGUCACAAAACUUUUAUUUUAAUAAGUACUUAUAGCUUUAGUCAUAAAGUAAUAUACUACGUAAGAGCUUUAGCUAUUGACUUAUUGUUCUGAGAUGCUGAUAUACAACGAGUAAGCCAUAUCUAGUGUUCAAAAUAUAAAUACCUAAUCUUUCGUUUGGUCUAAAUCAUCUCAACUGUAGGUAGAUGCCUACCUACUUAUUUAAUCAAUUGUCAAUAAUUCAAUCAGUGUAUUGCCGUCCUCUGAUGAAUGUAGGCCUCUCCAAGUCGGACCCAUCAUCCCGGGCUUGAGCAACUCGCCUCCAUCAUCUGUUCGAUACCAAUUGCUUACCUUUAAUAUGUAGGGGUGAAGGAAGCACUAUUGGACACUAUUUAUUAAAAGCGUUCUUUUUUAUUUCAUGUAAAUACAUGAAAAGCUGGAGUAUAAGAUCGAUGUAUUGUGUUAAGGAGAAACAUGAAAUCAAUGUAUUUAUCGACCUAAAUAUUUUUUAUGAUUUUAUUUUUAUUGCCAUGUCCUAAUCUGCCUCCCUUCCACAUUACCGAUAGGAAUUAAGAACACGCUUUAAAGCGUUUAUGGCUUUGAAAUAUCUAUUAUGUGACUAAUAAAAAAAAAAAACUAAUACACAAUCUUGUUUCCAAAGGAUUAGGCAGAGGCGCACCCAAGACCUAAUACACCUAACUCUACUUCGCCGAGCUAGUAACAUCAGUCUGAUUCCGGAAAAAGCGAUUAUGAGCGAAGGAAAAUCCGGACCCAAAAAAAUAAUGAAUUUAAUUAUAACAGAUAUUUGAACAUGUACUAGUUUUAUGUGCGUGGAUCAUGUAUAGUGAAUCGUCAAGGUCAUACAGUACUCGGACUUAUCAAUAAGGGUAAAAGUCAAAACUGGAACAUACUGUAUCAAUAAUAAUUUAUUCAGAGUUCAGCAUUACAAUCAUUGGUUUUUGUUGAUUUCUACAAUACUGCAACAUAACUCUUUUUGUGUAAAAAUCAAUUAUAAAUGACAUACACUACUCUCAAAGUAGUAAAAUAAUUUAGAUUAAUAAACGGCUAUAAUUAAACUUAACAAAUAAGCAUCGACAAU